CGCCGCUAAGGACGCCCCUGCCACUUACCUCUUUCUGUGGAAGAGAUGCAUGCUCCCAAACGUUAUAUAAUCCUUCUUCUGGUUGUCAUGCGUAUGACAGUCAUCCUCGGUUGGCCUUUCCAAUUUAAGGAUCUUUGCAUGGCAUGUGGUUGUCCUAACCCUUCUCAUCGUGCCUGCCUCGUUCCUCGGUCUCCGUGUGUAUGUGAUCAUGGUGUGCUACGUGAUAUGACGACCGCCAAAUGCGUUACCAGCAAUCGAAACUGUAGAUGGCAAUAGGACAGCGGCUAACAAGGCAUAUUGUGGCGAUUCUUUCCGUUGGCGCGGCUCAGACCUCUAACCAGCAACUGACACUGAAUUCCUGAAAAUAAAAUUUUGUGAC
rnacentral:lncRNA from 1 species